AUUGAACGCUGGCGGCAGGCCUAACACAUGCAAGUCGAGCGGAGCGGCGGACGGGGCAGAAAUGUCUAGAAAUCUGCCUGGACCUGGCGUAUAACGUCCGGUAACGGGCGCUAAUACCGCAUACUAUCAGAUGAGACUAGGUCGGAUUAGCUAGUGGGUGGGGUAAAGGCCUACCAAGGCGCCGACCCGUAACUGGUCUGAGAGGCUGAUCAGUCACAUUGGAACUGAGACACGGUCCAGACUCCUACGGGAGGCAGCAGUGGGGAAUAUUGGACAAUGGGCGAAAGCCUGAUCCAGCCAUGCCGCGUGUGUGAAGAAGGUCUUCGGAUUGUAAAGCACUUUAAGUUGGGAGGCGGUACCAACAGAAUAAGCACCGGCUAACUUCGUGCCAGCAGCCGCGGUAAUAC
rnacentral:rRNA from 1 species